rnacentral:rRNA from 1 species
UACGGAGGGGGCUAGCGUUGUUCGGAAUUACUGGGCGUAAAGCGCACGUAGGCGGAUAUUUAAGUCAGGGGUAAAAUCCCGGGGCUCAACCCCGGAACUGCCUUUGAUACUGGGUAUCUGGAGGUCGAGAGAGGCGAGUGGAAUUCCGAGUGUAGAGGUGAAAUUCGUAGAUAUUCGGAGGAACACCAGUGGCGAAGGCGGCUCGCUGGCUCGAUACUGACGCUGAGGUGCGAAAGCGUGGGGAGCAAACAGG